GACGAACGCUGGCGGCGUGCCUAAUACAUGCAAGUCGAACGCAGUGGGGACGGGUGAGUAACACGUGGCUAACCUCCCCAUCAGAGGGGAUAACACUUGGAUACAGCUGCUAAACCGAUACUGAUGGAUGGACUCGCGGUGCAUUAGCUAGUGGGUGAGGUAACGGCUCACCAAGGCCACGAUGCAUAGCCGCCCUGAGAGGGGGAUCUGCCACACUGGGACUGGGACACGGCCCAGACUCCUACGGGAGGCAGCAGUAGGGAAUCUUCGGCAAUGGACGAAAUGCUGACCGAGCAACGCCGCGUGAGUGAAGAAGGUGUUCGGAUCGUAAAACUCUGUUGUUAGAGAAGCGGUAUCUAACCAGAAGGCCACGGCUAACUACGUGCCAGCAGCCGCGGUAAUAC
rnacentral:rRNA from 1 species